GACGAACGCUGGCGGCGUGCUUAACACAUGCAAGUCGAACGGAAAGGCCCUGCUUUUGUGGGGUGCUCGAGUGGCGAACGGGUGAGUAACACGUGAGUAACCUGCCCUUGACUUUGGGAUAACUUCAGGAAACUGGGGCUAAUACCGGAUAGGAGCUCCUGCUGCAUGGUGGGGGUUGGAAAGUUUCGGCGGUUGGGGAUGGACUCGCGGCUUAUCAGCUUGUUGGUGGGGUAGUGGCUUACCAAGGCUUUGACGGGUAGCCGGCCUGAGAGGGUGACCGGCCACAUUGGGACUGAGAUACGGCCCAGACUCCUACGGGAGGCAGCAGUGGGGAAUAUUGCACAAUGGGCGGAAGCCUGAUGCAGCAACGCCGCGUGCGGGAUGACGGGCUUCGAGUUGUAAACCGCUUUCGCCUGUGACGAAGCGUGAGUGACGGUAAUGGGUAAAGAAGCACCGCCUAACUACGUGCUAGCAGCCUCGAUGAUACGUAGGGUGCCAGCGUUGUCCGGAUUUAUUGGGCGUACAGGGGUCGUACGUCGUUGAUCACCUCCCAAGUGUAAUCUUGGGGCUUCACCGUGUACUCUGCUUGCUAUAUGCUUGUCUUGACCAAGGUAGGGGGAGAAUGGAAUUCCUGGUGGAGCGGUGGAAUGCGCAGAUUCCAGGAGGAACACCAGUGGCGAAGGCGGUUCUCUGGGCCUUUCCUGACGCUGAGGAGCGAAAGCGUGGGGAGCGAACAGGCUUAGAUACCCUGGUAGUCCACGCUGUAAACGGUGGGUACUAGGUGUGGGGUCCAUUCCACGGGUUCCGUGCCGUAGCUAACGCUUUAAGUACCCCGCCUGGGGAGUACGGCCGCAAGGCUAAAACUCAAAGGAAUUGACGGGGCCCCGCACAAGCGGCGGAGCAUGCGGAUUAAUUCGAUGCAACGCGUAGAACCUUACCUGGGUUUGACAUGGAUCGGGAGUGCUCAGAGAUGGGUGUGCCUCUUUUGGGGUCGGUUCACAGGUGGUGCAUGGCUGUCGUCAGCUCGUGUCGUGAGAUGUUGGGUUAAGUCCCGCAACGAGCGCAACCCUUGUUCACUGUUGCCAGCACGUUAUGGUGGGGACUCAGUGGAGACCGCCGGGGUCAACUCGGAGGAAGGUGGGGAUGACGUCAAGUCAUCAUGCCCUUUAUGUCCAGGGCUUCACGCAUGCUACAAUGGCUGGUACAGAGAGUGGCGAGCCUGUGAGGGUGAGCGAAUCUCGGAAAGCCGGUCUCAGUUCGGAUUGGGGUCUGCAACUCGACCUCAUGAAGUCGGAGUCGCUAGUAAUCGCAGGUCAGCAACGCUGCGGUGAAUACGUUCCCGGGGCU
rnacentral:rRNA from 1 species